CUAGAGUUGAGGUUUUAAUUAAAAGCAUUAGCCUCUCCAUUCUAAUACCAUUAGCACAUAGGAGAAAUCCAUUCUGGAGAUAGAGAAUCUCUCCAAGCCUUAUUGCUUUCCAAUCCCUCCCUCCUUCUCCCACCCUUGAGGCCAUGCAUUGCAACUACUAUCCCGACAGACUGAUCUUCAAAAGUCCUCAGUCCCGCUCCUCAAUUAUCUACAGUAAUACAAAGAACUCCCCUCCCUGCAGCCCAGAGAAGAGAAUCCAUUUAUCCCUCACUGUCUAUCAUGUGUGACAGUCUGUACCCUUAUGUUCACCACUUUUACAAGACUGAUAAAUUUUGUACAAAGUAUGCCUUGUGAGGUAUCAUUUGAAAAUCCAUAAUCUGCUGAACGUUAUAAUCCCAGUAAAAUGCGUGUGGAGACAUCAUAUGUAAACUUAUAAAAUUCUACAGUAUGAUGUUACUAAGAUAUAUUCUAAAUCUCAGGAAACAGCCACAAACCAGUUCCUCAGAGACAAAAGGCAAACUGAUGCCUCAGGCAGAUGUCAAUGAAAUUAAAUGGGCUAUCACCUGGUUGAGCGGCCAUUCUUUGGCAGGAAAAAGGGGUGUGAAUGAGAAUUUUACAUCUUGGCAACAAACAGCUGGAAGUUCCAGUCUCCAUAGACUGACUGUCUCCUGAACCUCAGCUGCAGAUGAAUUUCAAAGAAAAGAGAGCUAUAAGAAAGGAGAACAGAGGCCUCAAAAUAUUCCUCCUUUCUCUCUAUCCACAGCAACCACAACACCUGAGAAACUUCUUUGAACUGAGGGGGGGAAUCCUGUAUGAAAGGAGUUCAGCCAGUAAGACUGCUAAGACAUGUGGUGAGAGAAAUCUUCGCUUUGAAUUUACUUAACUUGCUCAGACUUGCUGACUUAAUUCAAAGCUUCAGAAGAACCAGUAAAGAGCAGCCAGCUGUUUACUUAUCUCCUCCUCAGGGACAUCUAAGAGUCAACUGCCGCCUAUGGAAUCCUUGAAUUCAUCCUCCCCUUCCUAUAACUCCAGUGAGGAGAAAGCUGAGUAAGCUGCAGAUUUUCACUGGCAGUGAACUAAAUCAGCAAGCAUGUUUUAUUAAUCAAGGAAGGUACAAAUGCAUACAACUCAAUGUUUGGUUGUAUUUGUUUAAAAUGGAAAUGAACAGGCAUACCAGAUACAGCCCUUAGGCUCCUGGCAAGUUGUCAAUGUAGCUCUCAGUGUAAUGUACAGACUCUCCCCGCACACCCAAGGUCAGACUCAGAGGCAGGAUGCAGCAUGUUUUAAGAGAUGUGAUCAGAGUCAGAGAUAUGGCAAAACGCCCCACCCCAUGCCCCAAGAAGCAGACAAGCUAAAAGUGAACUACAGCACAAAAAGUAAAAAUGAGUUAAUUCCAAAUUUCUGUGCUAUGUGCUGCUAACCGGACCAUGUUGAGGGAAAGGGGAUUUCAGAAUAGAAAUAAAUCUGAAUUAGCUAUUAAAAAAUUCUUUUGUUGGUCUGGUACUUCUUGAUUCUUGCAGCACUCUCAAAAUAUGACAUCACAAAUACCAGCAGUCUCACUGCAACUUCUGGUAUUUGUAAUUCUGGGUACAAUAAGUGAACCAGGAAGUGCCAAGAGGAUUUCAUAGAGCAAAUAAAGCAUUUUGAAAGGUUAAAACUUCCAUACCAUAGGUUCCCCACAGCCUGGUUACUAACAACAUUCAGUAGAUAAAUCUGGGAUUAACUCAGUUUUCAUUUUUGCUUUAUACUCCACCUUAAGGAAAAGAAAGAUACCAGCUUGCAGAUCUUUACAUCUCUCCUGUUUAGUGAGGAAUGAAAGACAAACUAGGUGAAACCCUUACGCUACUGACAAGUUUUCAGUGUGGCUCUCAGUGUAAUGUACAGAUUCCCGCCACAGUCUCUUUGAUCAGGAGAGUCAUAAAUGGGGCAAUAUGGUAGACACUUGUUUAUUAUCCAGAUAUGUUUGGCACGUUAUAAUACAGAAAAUAAAGACAGCUCUUGCUUCAAAGAAUUUAUAUCUAAAGUACUGGGUGUGAUCAGAGCAUACUGGUUAGCAUAUGUCUGUAACACGGGCAUAAUCCACUUUCAGGGGAUUAAAGCAGUUAAUAAUUCCUUUGGAAUUUAAACUAUAGUAUUUUAGACAACAAUCCUGCAAUGAUGGAUACAGUGCCCUAGUUGCAAAAUCUCUUGUCUCUGAGAAUCUGAAAUGGAGCAUGAGAACACCCAGGGAUCCAUCCCUAUAUUCCAGAAUAUAGUUGGAAACUGGAAACAAUGACACCAAACCCCAUCAGCUUUAAACUGUAAACUGGAUCAGAGUGGUGAUGUUCUAAAUUGCGCGGUACAGAGAGCCAAUGUGCAGCAAUGUAAUAAAGUGAGUGGAGUCACCCAGAACACACACUCCUUCCAUUCUGGAUAAGAUACACCCAACACUCAGUUUCGGGGCUAGUGGGCUCCAUUCUCAAUCAGCUUCCAUAAUCUGUGCAGACAGUUUGAAGGAGAACAGAAAGUGAGCCAGUAGGCAUUAGGAUUAAGCCUGGUGGAUGGGGAGGAAACUGAUGUCAGACAAACUCCUGCAUAAACUGUCAGAGGAGAGCAAGAGCUGGUAAAUCCCAUGAAUCUUUGUUCACUCACCCAGUUGCCAGCAGUAGCUAGAGGGGCAUUAAACAGACAUGGACGGAUUAUUUCCUUUGGGCUGGACUGUCCUUACAUCCAUUCUAUCCACUUAAGACAUUUAAAACACACCAAUACACCAGUGGAAUAGUCAGAUUCGACUAUCAAAGUUGGCUGAAAUAAGACCCCUAUUAAGGAGGAGGGAGAAAGAAAACUGCCCCUCAGGCUCUGCACUGCAGCUGUCAACCAGAAUAAUGCCUUCUCUGAUACUAGGAUAUGUCUACACUGGCAGAGUGACAGCGCUGCUCAGACAGCGCUGAAGGGAAACCGCUGUUGUGUGUUCAGCUGCCUGCGCAAUAGCAUGUUCACACUUGCGGCACUUGCAGCGGUAUUCGGAGCGGUGCACCCUGGGCAGCUAUCCCACAGAGCAUCACCUCCUCCUCUUCUGCUGCUAAGAGCUGUGGGAAAGUGGAGGGUGUGGUGGGGCAUCCUGGGUCCUGUCCAAAUACCCCAUGAUGCAUUGCUUCGCAUCCCAGCAAUCCCUGUGCUUCUGUCCACAUUUGGCACCAUCUUUCAACGGUUUGUGUACUGCGUGCUCUGCCUCUUCGGUCUGCAGGACCAGAUCCUGAACUGUUGACUAGUAUGCUGCUCGCACUGACCAACACGUCAUGAGUGGCAGUGCCAUUAUUCCUUAAACUACAAAGGCAAGAGGAGUGCAACAUUGAUCUCGCCACACGUACUAGCUACAACACGAGAUUGCUUGUGGCAUUCAUGGAGGUGCUGACCACAAUGGAAUGCCGCUUUUGGGCUCGGGAAACAAGCACUGAGUGAUGGAUCACAUCGUCAUGCACGUCUGAGAUAACAAGUAGUGGCUGCAGAACUUUCGGAUGAGGAAAGCCACAUUCAUGGGACUGUGUGAUGAGCUUGCCCCAGCCCUGCAGCGCAAGGACAUGAGAAUGAAAGCUACCCUGUCGUUGGAGAAGCGCGUGGCGAUUGCACUGUGGAAGCUGGCUACUCCAGACUGCUACCGAUCGGUUGCUAACCAGUUCAGAGUGGGAAAGUCAACCGUUGGAUUCAUGUUGACAGAAAUGUGCAGGGCCACUAAUCGCAUUCUGCUCCGAAAAACCGACACUCUGGGCAACGUGCAUGACUUUGUGGAUGGCUUUGCACAAAGGGGCUUCCCUAACUGUGGAGGAGCGAUAGAUGGCAUGCAUAUUCCAAUUCUGACACCAGACCACCUAGCACAUUAAUCAGAAGGGGUAUUUCUCUAUGGUUCUCCAGGCGCUUGUGGAUCACCGUGGGUGUUUCACGGACAUUAAUGCAGGCUUGUCCGGAAAGAUGCAUAACACACAGUGUUCUUUCGUAACACUGGCCUGUUCAGGAAGCUGCAAGUAGGGACUUUCUUCCUGGACCAGAAGAUCACCGCAGGGGAACUCAAAAUGCUCAUUGUGAUCCUAGGAGCCCCUGCCUACCCCUUAAUGCCAUGAUUUAUGAAGCCAUACACAGGGCAACUUGACAGCAACAAGGAGCGGUUCAACAUCAGGCUGAGCAAGUGAAGAAUGACUGUUGAGUGUGCUUUUGGCCGUUUAAAGGCCCGUUGAUGCUGCCUAUAUGGGAAGCUGGACCUGGCCAAUGACAAUAUUCCUAUGCUUAUAGCCGCAUGCUGUACACUCCAUAAUAUUUGUGAAGGGAACAGUGAAAGCUUCACUCAGGGCUGGACCUCUGAGGCUCAGCACCUCGAGGCUAAAUUUGAACAGCCAGAAAUCAGGGCUAUUAGAGGGGCACAGCGAGGGGCCAUAAGGAUCAUGGAUGCCUUGAGGCAGCAAUUUGAAGCUGAAAGCCACUAAUAUUUGUUGCUAUGCUUGAGAGUGCAGUCCUUGUAAUACUAGGAGGUUAUUGUGAUUGGUGCAGAUGAUGCAAUAUGAAGGUUUAAUGGAACUGCCUGUUGCUCUGCAGGGCUCUGUUUGCUUUCAAUUAAUAGAAUAAAGAUUGCUUUCAAACCAACACAGUUCUUUUAUUAAAAAACAACAACUGGAGGAGAGCGACAACAACAACAAAAAACACAUCAGAACUGAGCGGGAUGGGAGGUCCCAGGAGGAAGUGGGGUCCUGGGAUGGUUAAAGAUUUGUGUAUGUACAGGGAUUAUAUCCAACCUUCUCGUUUGGAGUACAGUGCAGCAGGUAUUGUACUUCAACAGAGAUAAACUGCAGAGGGACGGGUGUUGAGUGCAGUGGGUACUGGGAGUCCGCAGGGCUGGACUGUGACGGGGGAGGAGUGGAAUGCCGCAGGUACAGACUGGAGCCAAGAGGUUGAUAAGAGUGUUUUGACGGUGUCCGGGGGCUACAUGGGAAAGAAUUUUGCGACAGCGGCUGCAAGGGAGAGCAGGCACAUAGUUGCUCAGUUUGCAGUGCUAAUAUCGCCUGGAGCAUGUCUGCUUGGCGCUCCAUAACUUUUGAGAGCCACUCCAUGGCUUCAUUUUGGCGCGCCAUGUUCUCCUUUUGGUCCCUCUUCUCGCUGUCCUGCCACUCCUUCAAUUCCUGUUUUUCGGCCACGGAGUGCAUCAUAACCUCACACAAAGUCCUCUUUAGUUCUUCGUGGCUGCUUUCUAAUUCUGCAUAGCCGUUCAGCCGGCGAUAAUAGAGGGAGGUUGGGCUCCCACGGUCCUCUCUGUGAAGCCAAAACACAUUUUAUAGAAGCAGUAUUUUUCGCAACACACAGAACACUGCUUCAGUGAUUUAAAACACAGCUAGUAUUCACACCUAUCACUAAUUGGCUGACCCCAGGCAAACACACAUGAGCCACAAGAUCACCAAAAUGGUGAGCAGCUGCAGGGGCAGGGUAAAUCAGUGUUCCCGGUCCCUACUGUACACUGGGCACAUGGCUCUUGGGGAGAGCCAACACUGUAGGGGGGCCUGAUAAUCAUUCCUGUCCCCACAUUUUACACAUGCUGAGUUCAUUAUGGAAGAUAUCUCGCUGCUGAGGGUGAGCAGAGAAUCAAGGGAAGGUCUUCUCCAAGAUUGCAGCUUCUGCCCUGGCCCUUAUGCGGAUCGCCUGUGUGCAGCAAUGGUGCAGUGAUGGCAGAGUGGCGUGGGAAAGUUACUGUUAAUGGGGCAAGAAACAAAGCAGAUUCUUGCGAGGGAGUCAAUCAACACCCUGUUCCGCCACUCAGACCAGGCAUGUGGUCUUAUGCGCAUCAUAGAGACACAAGCCUGCUUUCUGCAACCCUCCUGCCCCUAACAACUCGCUUCAGUGAUUCCCAAAAUCAAAUCCACUUACCGGGGCUCCUCUCCUGUUUGUGCUUUGUCAAGAUCCAACAGCUGUGGCUGGCUAGCCUCCUCCGGGGUAGAAAAGAGCUCUGGGAUGCAUGUAUCUCUGACUUCCGAGUUGUCCUCUGCCUCUGGGUCCCCCUCCCCCUCCUCACCCAAGAUUUCCUCCUCCUGGCUUGGUCCACUCUCGACUGGCACACGAGCCACUGAAGUAUCCACAGUGGCCUUUACAGUGGAGGUGGGUUGCCACAGAGUAUCACGUCCAGCUCUUUACAAAACCGGCAGCUCAUGGGCGCAGCACCGAAGUGGCGGUUUGCCUCCCACACCUUGUGGUAGGCGUUCAGCAGCUCCUUCACUUUGACCCUGCACUGCAGUGUGUCCCGGUCAUGGCCCCUUUCUGUCAUGCAUCAUGAAAUCUGUCCGUAGGUAUCAUCAUUCCUACAGCCGGAGUGCAGCUGGGACUGGACAGCCGCCUCUCCCCAAAUGCUGAUGGGGUCCAGCUAGCUCAGCAUUGCUCCAAGUGGGGGAUCGCCUGGUGUCUGAAGCGGGCAUGGCCACCUGGAAAGAUGGGCUGAGACCACUGUCUGCAUCACCGAGCAAACAGGAAGGGAACUUCCAAAAUUCCAAAGGAAUUUAUGGGGUGGGGAUGAUAGUUGGUCACCUGAGGGCAGGGCAGUAGAGUCCAAUCCAAUGACCAGAGAGGCAAGAACAGGCAUUGUGGGACACCUCCUGGAGGCCAACUGCAGCACUGUAAUCGACCAGGGUGUCGCUGUCGCCCCGGCGCAGAAAGCUGUACGCCUCUCAUCAGGGUUUUUGUUUGUUUGUUUUGUUUUGUAAACACAGUGCUGCUACUGCGCAGUUUCUGUGCACUAAGUGGCUUGGCAGUGUGUACACCUCAGGAGUUACAACACAGAAACCUGCUUUACUGCACAGAAACUUGCCAGUGUAGACAAGGCUUUAAUCACAAAAGGGGGCUAUAGAGAAGCAUGAGACACUCGCCCACAGAAGGUGCUCUUUCUCAUCAGCAUUGCUGGCUCUUUAAUGCCUGUCCUUAGAGAGGACAACAGACUGGUUUUCUCGCAGGAUUGUGUAAGACACUAACCACAAGGCAACUGGUCCUGCUCUGGCUACAGUUUACAAUUGAUUUGUACGUGUUACUAGUAGCCAGAGAUCAAAAUCUACACUAAUACAAAGUGCAUGUAAAACCAGAGUUUUGACCCUUUUAGUAAUUAAGAGAUCCCAUAGCACAUUUUGCAAGGCAGACUGUUGGCUCAGGUAUAUUGGGCCAAAUAUCUUCUCCAUAACAUUUUUGUUGUUUUAACUGACAUUUUCUACAUGUCCUCAGAUACAUAAAGUUGUUUGGUUCUAUUAAGUAGAUGCUGCUGUGACGUUACACCCCAUAUUCCUCAUAGGAAUAUGGUUAUGAUAUGAAUAUGGCCUAACUAAGAUAUAUUUUACUCAAGAUACGUCUUGUAAGGUAUCAUCGGAAAGGUUAUGAUUUACUGAAUAUGAUUAUCCAAUUUGUAUGCAUGUAUCAUUUCAGUAUCUAAAGUUAGGAAUACUGAUUAUGUAACAAUUACAACUGUGUGUGUAUUUGGGAAACACUCACCACACAGCAGGCCAUCAGCUUUGAUGGGCCAUUAGGAAGAAACAAUAAGACUUUAAAAAUACUAAACACUAUCUUGCAUCAAGGGGUAGCUAUGUUAGUCUGUAUCCACAAAAACAACAAGGAGUCCGGUGGCACCUUAAAGACUAACAGAUUUAUUUGAGCAUAAGCUUUUGUGGGUAAA